ensembl:lncRNA
CUUAAGUCUUUGUACUGUGGAAUGGUAAAAUCUAGACACAAAUGAGAUAAACCUUUGGUAUUGCUGUUCCUGUUAUAUAAGAAUAGUUGGAUCCUUCUCAAUAACAGCUUUGGAAAGGUGUAAAAUCACAAAUCUGGAAAGAAGACUUAGACAGCUGAACUCAAACAUUCAGGAAAAACAAUUACCCUGUGACCACUUCAUCACAAUUCUGGCAGGUCAAUAUUCCCAGGUGUGCCCAACAUCCAACAGUCCAGCGUUUGAUUGUCUAAGCCCAAAUCGAGUUCAGGAAAAACAAAGCUUUGCUCAUCCACUUGAAAAAAAAAAUCAGUCCCGUAGAUGAUCACACUUUUCACUUUACAUCCUCUCAGCUUUAACUCUUGGAAAAAUGAUUACCAGCCCUUUAAGCACCAUAAAUUGCUGGUAAAUUGCUAAAUACAAAGUGUAUGUAUUUGUAGUGACAGCUAGAUUACAAUGAUGGGUAUUAGGUCUCAUUCUCUCCAUCACAUCUGCUAAAGUUUAUAUCUGUUACGAAUCUAGAUCAACUUCUUCAAGCUGUUUGAUGCUAAAAAAAGUUGCCUUAUGACUUAACUUAUAUCAUUCUAAAGAAAUGUACUGCUGUGUUUGAAAAAGUAACGUAGAAAAGUAGAGAUUUUUCCUUUUGAAAUUAAAUAAAAGUCAAAAGAAUUAGGUGAAAGAAACUUCAGGGAAAUUACAUAUACUUAAACACCAGACUUAAGUAAGUGUACGUUCUUAUUUUCCAUCUCUUAAUUACAUAAAUAUCGUGUGGAAUUGCCACUUUGCUGUCUCUUCAAAUCUCAUGGUCUGCACUGUAUAGGAUUGUAAGUAGGUUGGUUUUGAGUAACCUUUUAAGUAGGUUGUUUUAAAUUGUCUUUAUUACAGAUAUCCAAAAUAAAAUUAAAUCUCAGUACAAGUCUUUAAAAGACAAAUAAGUUAAAGCAACGUCAUGGAAAAAAACUCCAAACAUGUGCCUUUUUCUGGCCAGUUCUACAACGAUGCAGUCAGUACAUAAUCCUACACAACUGGGAUGCAGCAUACAAGUUUAAACAAUGUUCAAUUCUGAAAGGGUUUCUGUUUAUAAACUGAAUAGGAAACUCUAUAGAACAUUCUUAUAUAUAAUGGUAUAAGUGCGAACAUUUCUGAACCAAGUCCUCAUUUUUUUUUUUUUUUUUUUCUGUUCUGUUUUGGUACAUAUCUAAGCCAUUAACUGCAACCAUGAAAAGUCUACAUGAAAAGUUAGCUGUUUUAGUGAACUCAGGGCAUAGUGCUCUCCAGGGUUAGGGUUUAAACAUGUCUCCCAAACAGUCCAAUGUCAACAAUGUGUCCUGCAGCAAAUAUGUGUAAAAAAAAAAAAAAAAAAAAAAAAAAAAAAGAUUCUAAGAGAAAGUGUACCUUUAUAGUUUUGAGUGUAUAGGAACAGGAAAGGUUAAUGUGUUUAAAAGCAAUCUUUUUUUUUUUCUUUAUACAGUUUUCCUUCACCCAUUUAGAAUUAAAAACAUUAGUUAAUGUAGCUGUCUGGUUUAAUAUCCCUGAAUGAUUCAUAUGAUAUUCAUAUUGAAGAUAUCAGUAAUAUCCUCAGAUUAUUUUUCAAGAUUAAAUAAAAAAACAUAGGCCUCAUAUAUACAGUUUGAUAUAAAUUGUCCCUGGCUGCAACAUUAAAAAACAACCCCCCCCCCCCCCCCCCAAAAAAAAAAAAAAAAAAAAAAAAAAAAAAAACAGGCUGUAGUAUUUACAUGAAAAGAACGUACACUGAAGUAUCAGAUUAGUAGUUACUAGGUAUUGGGUAUGAAUGGGAUAAGUAGCACAACUCCCUAGAUGUUUGCAGUAACUGACAUGAUAGAAGAACUGACUGGCAAAGUGAUGGUAAAGAUUCCACAUACGCAGUAGAACAUGCACUAGAAUGUCAUGUUCACAUUGAAAAAUAGUUAGAAAUAAAGCUAUGCAUUAUUUGAACCCCACAGAUCACUGGGCAUGUUCUGAAUUUAUUGCUUCUCAGUAUACGUGAAGGUAUGUACUCUUUGAGUCAACCCCAAUCACAUUUCUAGCUGUGCAUUCUGUAGAACCUGUGUCUCUUGGAGUGGGGUU